rnacentral:sRNA from 1 species
GCUGUGUGUGGUGGCUCACGCUUGUAAUCCCAGUGAUUUGGGAGGCUGAGGCAGGAGGAUCACGAAUUCAAAGCUAGCCUCAGCAGCAGAGUGAGGCCCUCAGUAACUUAGUGAGACCCUGUCUCAA